rnacentral:rRNA from 1 species
CCUACGGGUGGCUGCAGUGGGGAAUAUUGGACAAUGGGGGCAACCCUGAUCCAGCCAUGCCGCGUGUGUGAAGAAGGCCCUCGGGUUGUAAAGCACUUUCAGUGAGGAAGAACGCCUGGUGGUUAAUACCCAUCAGGAAAGACAUCACUCACAGAAGAAGCACCGGCUAACUCCGUGCCAGCAGCCGCGGUAAUACGGAGGGUGCGAGCGUUAAUCGGAAUUACUGGGCGUAAAGCGCGCGUAGGUGGCUUGAUAAGCCGGUUGUGAAAGCCCCGGGCUCAACCUGGGAACGGCAUCCGGAUCUGUCAAGCUAGAGUGCAGGAGAGGAAGGUAGAAUUCCCGGUGUAGCGGUGAAAUGCGUAGAGAUCGGGAGGAAUACCAGUGGCGAAGGCGGCCUUCUGGACUGACACUGACACUGAGGUGCGAAAGCGUGGGUAGCAAACAGGAUUAGAUACCCCAGUAGUC